UACAACCGUCACCAUAGAUCUAAUUUCUGGUAGUGGAUCAUAUUUUGAGAUUCUAUCCUUAAUUUUUGAGAUUCUAUCAUAAUUUAUGUUUGAAAUGUUGUGACCUCGCAAGGAAGAAUGCAGUAACGUUAAAAAUUUUGAUUAAAAAAGAUACUAAGUUCCAAAAGAACACAGAUAAUUGAGGUAUAACUUCUACCAAUUUAAUUAACAUAUGAUUUAUUAUUUUUGAAAGUUAGAUGAUCUAUAUACAUUUAUUAUUUAGUAGGAAAUAAUUCUCGCAAUAAUUUUUUUGAUCGAUCAUAUGUGGGGCAAUUGAUUAGUCACAAAGAAAUUGAGGUUAAAGCUUUUACUAAGCAUCAUGAUAUCGCCGUGAGUGUAUCAUUAAAUAUUUACAUCUAAUUAUGUACGUUCUUUUAUUAAUGAUAUAUACAAUAUUGAUUUUGAGUAAUUGAAGAAAGUAAUAAGUUUAUCCUUGUACGAUCAUUAGCUAUAGCAAGGUAGAGGAGUGAUAUUUAACCCAAAGAUACUCCUAUGUGGUGUGAUAUUUUUUUCUUUGAGCCAAGUCCACAUAGUUUCUUCCUAAAAGCCCUCAUACUAGAUGAGAUCUUACACCAUGUAUGUAGCUUCUCAGUCCUUUCAGCUGGACUUUCGUUCGCACAGAGGAUACAUAUAAGCAAAUUUGAUAUUUUAGGGGUAAAUAUGGGUCUUUGUUAGCCUAUGUAGCUCCAUCAUAGCAGAUAUCAAAGCCACUCUAGACCUUCAUUAAAGGUACUUACAAUUAUGUGACGAAAUUGAAGAUGUUAUACUUUUACGGACCAAACGAAUCGUCAGACAAUGACAACUGUAAGACAAAUCGAAUAUUUCAUGAGUAAAUUUAAUAUUUUCCUUUUUUGUGCAAUUUUACUUUCUUCUAUUUAAUAUCUCAUAUUAAACAAAAAAACAAAAAGAGAAUUGGAUAUCUCUUGUAAAAAUGUAAAAUCAAGUUUUAUAUGAAGGUGUCUUUUGUAUACUACUGCCUCCAUCUCAACCCAUGGUAAAAUGUUAAUUAAGUGUAAACAGAUGUGAAACAGAGAAGUAUAUGCAGAAAUUUUUAAGACUAAAGAUGGAGCUAAUACACUGAAUUUAAUGGGACUAUCUUGACUGUUAUUCAUAAUCGUAGGCUGCUGAUUUUAUACACUGAAAGACGCAACAAAAUAAAUCAAAAAGCUGGAACGACUAACUAAGAUAACUCCUAAAAAAUAGGAAACAAAUUCACAAUAAACUACUCUCCUAAAGACUAGGACAAAGCUGGAAAUAGACUGGAAAUAGGACUUUAUUUGCUAACACACUCCCUUAAACUGAAAGCUCUCAAGCUUCAGGUUAACAGUAGCUAGUUGAAUUCUUCCAUCGUGCCAAUACCCAUCGACCUCCUCAGCUUUUGGAAAGGGAGAAACCUGAGAGGUUUAGUAAGAAUGUCUGCCAACUGAUCUUCACUUCGGCAAUACUGAAGCUCUAUUGUUCCUUCAUUGUUGAGAUCUCGCAAGAAAUAAUACUUCACAUCAAUGUGCUAGCUUCUUCCAUGGUUCACAGGAUUCUUUGACAACUUGAUUGAAGAAUUGUUGUCACAAAAUAUCAUAGUAGCACUUUCCAUCUUGAAUUGCAACUCUUUAAGGAUUCUCCAAAGCCAAAUAGCUUGACAGGCACAAGCUAUAGAAGCUACAAAUUCAGCUUCUGUGCUUGAUAAUGUGACAACUGUUUGCUUUUUGGAAGACCACGAUACAGCCCCUGUGCCUAGUAUAAAGACAUAACCUGAAGUGCUCUUUCUACCAUCUUGAUCUCCUGCAUAAUCGCUAUCAGUAAAGCCAAUCAAAUCUGCCUUUUCUCCCUUCCUGUAGAAAAUUCCAAAAUCCUUGGUUCCUUGUUAGUAACGAAGAAUUCUCUUCGCAGCUAAGAGAUGCAUUUCAGUUGGGCACUCCAUAUAUCUAUUUACAUGACUAACAGAAUACAUGAUGUCUGGUCUUGUAGCAGUUAGGCACAUUAGACUACCCACAAUUUGCUUGUAAAAAGUGCUAUCCGUCUUCUUUCCGCUCCCAGCUUUGGUUAGUUUCAAGCCAAACUCAACUGGAAUGUUGGUUGGAUUGCAAUGCUGCAUCUUAAACCUGUUUAAAAUUUCUCUCAUCUACUUCUUUUGGGAAACAAAUAUGCCAUCAUCAUCAGAUUGCACUACUUCUAAACCAAGAAAGUAAUGCAUCUUACCAAGAUCAGACAUCUCUAAUUCAUCCAUCAUACACUUCUUGAAAUCAGAAAACAUGUCACUAUUAUUCCCCAUGAAGAUGAGAUCAUCGACAUACAAACACGCAAUGAGCAUUUUCCCAUUCUCCCCAAUUUUCACAAAAAGUGUAGGCUCAUAUGGACACUUUUGAAAACCCAUUUUCUGAAAAUAAGCCUCAAUGUGACUAUACCAAACCCGUGGGGCUUGUUUUAGUCCAUAAAGAGCUUUCUUUAAUCGAUAAAUUUUAUGCUCACUUCCAAUCUUAACAUAACCAGGGGUUGAAAUACCUCACAAAGCAGUGGGCCUAAUGUCACGACCCGGCCCGAGGCCUUGGCCGCGACGGGCAUCCCGAACCACACAGGCCCGAGAUACCCCUACCACUCCCCAACCCACUAGUGAUAUUGCCCGCUCUGGGCCCAGGCCCUCACGGCUUUAAAACGCAUCACUAGGGAGUAAGGCUUUCUCUCUUAUAUACCCAGUAUCCUUCUUGUGUUUUGCCGAUGUGGGACUCCUUCCUAAGUUGGGGUGUCACAUAUACCCCCCCUUACGGACCCAGCAUCCUCGCUGAGGUUUGCCCCACCGAAUGGGAUUUGCCUACACUCAAGACUGAGGUUUGCCCCGCCUUACCAGGAUUCGCCUACACUCAGUUUGAACUCUGACCCACAUCGACAGGGACGACACAAGAGCGGCUCUGAUACCAUUCUGUCAUGACCCGGCCUGAGGCGCUGGCCGCGACAAGCAUCCCGAACCAUAUAGGCCCGAGAUACCCCUACCAGUCCCCAAUCCACUAGUGAUAUUGUCCACUCUGGGCCGCGUACCCCUAUUUCAGAAAAUAAUGGGUGCUUCUUGAAACCUGUUGAUUGGGGAUUCCGAAUCUAUAAUCAAUUUUGAAAACCCACGGUUAAAUCUUGAUUUAUUUGGGUUUUUAGUUUGAAACCCUUGGGAGUGUUCUUGAGAAUUUUUAGAUGAAUGUGGAUGUAUUUUGGAGAAUAGGGGACUGAAUUUCGUGUUUAAGGCUGAUAAGGGUGGAAAAAGGACCAUUUUGCCCCAAAAAUGGAGUGUUUAAGUCAGUUGAAACCAUAAGAUAUGCGCCGCAUAUGAUAUCGCAUAUAUUUACAUAGGCGCCGCAUAUGAUAUCGCCUAUAUUUACUUAGGCGCCGCAUAUGAUAUCGCCGAUAUUUACAUAGGUGCCGCAUAUGAUAUCGCCUAUAUUUACAUAGGCGCUGCAUAUGCUAUCGCAGGCAUGUGCGAUUGGUUAGGCGACGCAUACUACUUUGAGAGGCCAUAACUUCUUGCUCUGGUGUAGGAUUUUAGCAAAAUUGGUAUUUUUGGAAAGUUAACUCGAAGACAUAUCAUUUGACACAUAGUAGGCUCUCUAAUUCGAUAAAUACAGAGAGUUAUGGUCGAUGGAAGCUGAUACAAAUUACAACGUCCACUAAAACUUAAUCGAUCGAAAUAAUUUCAACUUGUCCUUGAGUUGAAGGACCUCUAUGGUCUAAAUUCAUACUCAAAUGGAUUCACAUACUACAUAAACAUGCCAAAUUGGCAUAGGAUUUAAGGCUCUGGGAAUAUCAACGCAUCAGAGUCAUGGUUUUUAUUCUAGCCCACAAUGCGGGGUGUUACAAUAAUUUUCAGUAGAUGUAUCAGCUGUUAAAACAUAUAUGUGCCUAUUUGUUUGUUAGAAUAGAUGAUGUACAUUCACCUUCUACAGCUCAUGCUACUCUCCUAUGGCCCUUGCACACUGAAUAACGGUGCAAAACAAUAAUAUAGGCGCUACAAUUUUGCUUUUUUGAUGCUUGAUGAUGCCUUGGAAGUAUCUUUCCUUCUCCUCUUAGCCGCCUUGAUCUCUAGUGGAUUGUAUGGAUAUGAAAUCCUCUUUGAUGGAAUGACACCUCAUAUCAUAAUUGAAACUUCACACUUUUGUCAAACUAAUCAUCAUAAACGCUAAGACUACAAGAUCAUUUCCAUAAACUAGCAUUAUCGCCCCCGAACUACCAUUUGUUCCCGCAUGACAAUCAUCCACAACUCCAACAUAGUGUCUAGUACUAGUCAUGGACAACAACACAACUUCUCACAUAAUACACAGAUUCAUAGCUACAAAAAAGAAACGAAUACUAGUCCACUGAAAGUACGUGACAAAACAAUCGAUCUUAAUUUCUUCAUCGGCCUAAUUGCAGAUUACAAGUGCAUUCUCCUUUAACACUACAACUACUUAUCCAUUACCUGCCUAAAUUACAAUCAUUACUCCGUAAAAUAGAGAGUUCCUUUUUCAAAAUCACAAUGUGCAGCCUAGGUCUGUCAACUCUUAACCACUCUAUCCUCCCAUUUACAACUUAUUCUUGAUCUUUUUUAACAUAAUGGCAUGCCAUCAUAAACUUCUUUCCUAGUUCAAACAUACUCUAAAUCAUCUUAAUCCACCAUUAUUGCUCAAUUUAAUACCAUAACAUUUUCACAAUUCUUGCUACACCUUCCUCAAUCAUCAAAGGACAUAUCAUUCCACCACACUACUCGACUACUCGAUACAUGACCUUUGCAACAUACUCCAAUCAAUCACUAUUCCCACUUCCUGGUCUUUAACUUAUGACUUCAUAUUUCUAGCCCUACAGUCAUUCUACUAUUUAUGACCCACAACACCCUAAAUCACAUUAUAUCUUUGAUGACAACACUCCCCAAGAAUUGGGAUGCAUACUUUCUCAUUUAAAAGUGUCAUGGGUAACAAGGUACGAGAGGGUUUGAGAGGACAUAUUAUUGUAGGAUCAAACGCACAAUUCAUACGAACAAAAGUACAUUCUUUCAAAAUGAAGAACUUAAACACACUAGUGGGCUCCCCUCUAGCCAGGUGAAGUCCCGAGGAUUUAUGACGGAUAUAUCUAAGAGCACCAUAAAGAUAUGAAUCACCUCGAAGAUAGGCAUAGACAGAGAAAUUUGAGCAACACAUGAAUCUGAGUAAGAUUUUUAUGAACAUCUCUUUACAUGAUCAACAGUAUGAAAGAAGGGGAAAUGUAUGCCAAAUGUCUUGUAGCCUCCCCUAUUAUAAGUGUGGCGCGCUUCACACCCAUAAAAAGGAUACUACUAGACACGGCUUCACAAACACCCUAGGACACUUGAACUCUGGGCUCUGAUACCAAGUUUGUCACUCCCCGAGCCGAGGCCCUAGUCGUGGCACGCACCCGAUACUAUUGCUAGUACGAGCAAACGUUUUUGCGUAUCACAUGAGCAUACAGAUAACAUAAUGAAUAAAACGGAAACAGAAUAUAAUAAGAUUUCUUAAAGGAUAAAUCUUUCAUCAAUAAUAUCACUUAACUUCUAAAGAUACAAUAGUCAUGACAAAUACUACUAAAAAUUACAAGAUUUGUCUGGCAACUAAAUCAGUCUGCAAAGCCUCUAAUAAGUACCAAUACUAAAAGAAAAGAAAAGAAAAUAUAAUGAAGUCAUCAUAUCUCGUCCAACCUCCUGAUAGGAAAGAGGCUCACCAAUAGUAGAAGAUAGCGAUCCUAAUGAGGCGCCUGACCGCGGACAUGAGAGCCAGAACCUACAUUAUGAAAUGAUGUAGUGCCAAAGGCGGUCAAUACGUGGAAUGUAUUGGUAUGCAAAACCAUUUCAGGAGGGUAGUACAUCAAGUGAUUAGAAAUGACAAUAAAAUUCAAAUGUAAAAGAGGACAACUGGAAAGGAACAAGAAUAUAAACUAAAUUUAUAAUUGACCAAAUAAGGUAGAUUUAAUUGCUUUGAUUAUUUGUGGGAGAAAGUAGCGAACCGUCAUAAACCACCAUAUGAGCGCAUGGAGUUUGAUCUCGGCCCGAUCAGCUAAGCCGUCCUAUACCUUGCCAGGCAUAGGACGUGACAUGACAUAAUUUGCUAGCAAGUAUCCAUCAUUAGCCCCUUUUCGGGACACAUGAAAGAAAAGAGAGUAUUCGACUUGCGGAAUGAUCUCUAUCCUAUGUCGGCAAACAUAGUUUCGGGCAUUUAUCGUUUCAACCUAUGCCUUCACGGUCAGCUAACUAACUCCCUUAUGGUCAUGACGUUGUCUUAUUUAUCUGAUUAGUUAUUGAUCAAAAAGUUCAUCUUGUUACGUUCAUGUUCAUAUUUUAGCCUUUUUAGGCUCAUGCUCGUGGUUUACCCUUUUUAAGCUUAUAAUUAUGUAUAGCCACUUUAGGCUCAUACUGAGAGUUAACCGUAAUAGGUUCAUAUUCAUGAGUUAACACUAUCAAUANNNNNNNNNNNNNNNNNNNNNNNNNNNNNNNNNNNNNNNNNNNNNNNNNNNNNNNNNNNNNNNNNNNNNNNNNNNNNNNNNNNNNNNNNNNNNNNNNNNNNNNNNNNNNNNNNNNNNNNNNNNNNNNNNUGGAACAAGAAUUAUACUUUUAAGAGUUUCAUAAAUUAUAUCAGAAACAUUCACAUGAUGGCAUGGCUGAGAUUUUGACAUUUUGACAUGGAAGAUUGGGCUAAGAUAUUGCAGCAGAGGUGCAGUAGUUUGCUGCGGGUUUGUGAUGGUGGCGUAUGUCGUCAUAUGGUGAGGAAAAAUAUCAAUUUACAGGCUAGUCAUUUCCACUGUGACAGAGUCUGCCAAGAAAUUGUUAUUGGUGUUUAUAGAGAUAGAGUAGUGGCUGAAUGGCAGGUUGCCUUGAACGGCUUAAAGGGAAUACCUUAAAGAGGAUGCUGCUCUUACAUACUGUGUAAUAUAUUUACUUAAUAAUAGAGUAGGAUAUAUUUGAAUUAGCGAUGUAACAGUAUGUUCUUUUUUUUUGUUGUUGUCUGAACGUUGCAGCGGAAGAACGAGUAGUCUGUGCUGGUUGUUGUUUUCUAACUAUGCAGUUGGAAAAGAAAGUAAUGAAGCAUAUUGCAGCUACAAGGCUGCGACACUGAUGUAUCAGAUAAGGACUGCUGGAAAGUGAACCGUGUACAGAAAACAUGUUAUAGACGGAUAUACAAUCUCGCAAUAAAGUCAUAGAAAGAGUAGAUAUGUUUGGAAAUUCAAAAAUAACUAGGAGAGGUCAUCUUUGAUCAACAGAUUAUGUAAUUAUUUCUCUCUCACUUCUUUUAAAUAAUGGGGUGCUCUCUAGGUGUAAUUGCUUGACUUUGCAGAACUAAAUCUUUCACAGUUAUUGCCAAAAACAUCUAUGAUUCGUACAUCAAAUCACGAGGGUCAUUGGAACUCACAAAAUUCAGGAAGGAAGAACAUGAAACAGAGAGUUAUCUUUACACAUCCAACAACUAUUAAACCAUUCAAGUUCAUUGAUAAGAUUGAAGAAUUUCCUUUAAAACCUAAAUAGUUUUAGAGCAAUUUGAAUUGGAUAACAGUACAACGUCCAGAAACGAGAGUAAGUAAUGGUCCUACAUACCUCUUAAACGUUGAAAGAACUUUGAGAUUGGAAGAAGAAAUUCCAACGUGAUUCUCACCAAGUUGUGUUUCUUAGGAGAUGUGAUUGAGAGGAAAAAUAGAGAUAUAUUCUAAUGGAAAACUUCUCAAAACUGAUGGAGAAGUGAGGCUUUUUAUUGUAUGAACAGUUGGAAAAUAGAGUGACUGGUUUAAAGCAUGUAACUGAUGGGAAGUAUAGAGGCGUGUCUAGCUGAGAAAAAUUAAUGUUCCAUUGAGGGAAAUAACGCUUGUAACUGAUAACUUAAGAGGGUUUUAAUUUCAUGAAAUAAAUUGCAAAACAAAAAGACAAAAUUACCCUUGAAAUACCUCACAAAGCAGUGGGCCUGAGAUGUUAUCUCCCCCUUGAGGUCAUUCGUCCUCGAAUGAAGGUCUUGGCUAGAAUAAAGUGCAUGAUUUGAAACUAUUUACGAUCGUCUGCUGGACUGUACUCAUCUUUUAUGUUUUUGGGACAUCACUCCCUGAAGCUCAAGACCCAGAUUGGUUCAAUACCUUGUCAUCUUCCCCUUAGCUCAAAGAUCGAUAUACUAGGUACGGACCUAUCUUCUUAACUGAGAUAUAAGCACAACACUCUGCACAGUUGGGGUAUUACUAUAUACAAGAAUGCUUAAACUUUCCCUGUUAGACUAUAUUUGUAGAUACAAAACCGAUGCUAGAACCCUUUUUUUUUAAGCUACUUCCCUUAACUUAUCUUUCCUCUACGGUCAUCAUUCUAUAACUCUUUCUACUAUUGAUGUAUAUAAUCACUUCGACACAUACCAAUUUGGCUCUCUCUUAUUAGUCUACUAGAAUCACGUCUCUAAAUUCAUGUUCACCCAACUCAAUGGGAUUAAAACUACGCUAAGGGACUUCAACAUCGUCUAUCUAUAGUCCCUUCAAUUCAGCUCUCAGGGGCACCAUAUAAUAUCCCUAUCCUUAGAAUCUCAUGUAAUAACAUACUACUUUGUGUGCAGUGUCCCUUUUUUUUUUUUAAACCUUAAGGGCCCUUUUUUUUUUUUUUUUUUUUUUUGCUUAGCCACAAUUUACUGUCUCACCUAGGGGUCACAUACAUAUCAUAAUUGAAACUUCACACUUUUGUCAAACUAAUCAUCAUAAACGCUAAGACUACAAGAUCAUUUCCAUAAACUUGCAUUAUCGCCCCCAAACUACCAUUUGUUCCCGCACAACAAUCAUCUACAACUCCAACAUAGUGUCUAGUACUAGUCAUGGACAACAACACAACUUCUCACAUAAUACACAGAUUCAUAGCUACAAAAAAAAAAAAUGAAUACUAGUCUACUGAAAAUACAUGACAAAACAAUCGAUCUUAAUUUCUUCAUCGGCCUAAUUGCAGAUUACAAGUGCAUUCUCCUUUAACACUACAACUACUUAUCCAUUACCUGCCUAAAUUACAAUUACUCCAUAAAAUAGAGAGUUCCUUUUUCAAAAUCACAAUGUGCAGCCUAGGUCUGUCAAUUCUUAACUACUCUAUCCUCCCAUUCACAACUUGGCAUGCCAUCAUAAACUUCUUUCCUAGUUCAAACAUACUCUAAAUCAUCUUAAUCCACCAUUAUUGCUCAAUUUAAUACCAUAACAUUUUCACAAUUCUUGCUACACCUUCCUCAAUCAUCAAAGGACAUAUCAUUCCACCACAUUACUCGACUAAUGGAUACAUGACCUUUGCAACAUACUCCAAUCAAUCACUAUUCCCACUUCUUGGCCUUUAACUUAUGACUUCAUAUUUCUAGCCCUACAGUCAUUCUACUAUUUAUGACCCACAACACCCUAAAUCACAUUAUAUCUUUGAUGACAACACUCCCCAAGAAUUGGGAUGCAUACUUUCUCAUUUAAAAGUGUCAUGGGUAACAAGGUACGAUAGGGUCUGAGAGGACAUAUUACUGUAGGAUCAAACGCACGAUUCAUACGAACAAAAGUACAUUCUUUCGAAAUGAAGAACUUAAACACACUAGUGGGCUCCCCUCUAGCCAGGUGAAGUCCUGAGGAUUUAUGAUGGAUAUAUCUAAGAGCACCAUAAAGAUAUGAAUCACCUCGAAGAUGAGGCAGUUCUCUUUUGAACUAUGGAACUGCGUGCUAACUGGAUCACAUAUAUGUUAGACCUAUAUAAAUGUGAAGCUGCAGUUUUCUCUUUUGGCAAUUUCAAUUGUUCUUUAAGUUUUAUCAUCUCACAUUUGGAUGCACUACAAUAUUUUUUGCCUAAGGCCACACUAAACCUGAGCCACAUUUUACAAGUGUGGCCUAUACCAUUAAAGACCACGCUUUUAAAGCGUAACCUUAGUUUUUAACUUCUGGCCAUAUUACUUUUGACAACACUUUGAAAGCGUGAUUUUUAAUGAUGUAGACCACACUUUACAAAUUUUGCCAAAUUAUGAUAUAAUUGACAACACUUAUUAACAUAUAUGGCUACAUUUUUAAGUGUAAUAUUAUUAUAAUUUUAAAAACCAUUUUUAAAAUGUGGUCUACAAUUUUCAUUAAAAUUUUCUCUCUCCCUCCCAAAUAUUUUAAUUUUCCUCCAACUUCUAAUUAACCAAAAAGAGUUGAGUAUAUUAAAAAUCAAAAACCCUACAUAUUAUUUCACACAGGUAUUAAACACCCUGUACGGUCCAGGUCUCUCCACCUUUGAAUAACACCGACAUCAUCGAACAUCGUCGGCUCGGAAGGCCAACCACCGACGAGGGGAGACCACUGGAGAGAGGCGAUAACCUAAAGGUGAUAGUCAAUCUCUCCUUUUGGUCUUUUUUUUUUUAAAUCAAUGAAUUUGAACACCCUUUUUGUUGUUUUGUCAAUUUCUGAGCUUGAUUUUGGAAAUUUGUUGGUUCUUUUGAGUUUCUUGGAUUUUGAGAAUGCCAAUUUGGGGUGUGUUGUGAUUCCACUUUAUACGAUUGAAGAGAAUGUGAGGAGUUUGGGGUUGCACCCUUCUUUUUUUUGUUCUCAGAUAUCUGAUUGUCAAGUUUUCCUUAAAGUUUUUUUGUUAGAGUUGGAAUUUUGUUAUCUUAACGUUUACCUUGUUCCUAAAGUAUACAGGUGUAUCCAGUACAACAUGAGCAUAAAGCACAACAAUUUUGGUUAAAACUAACUAAUUAAGUAUAUAUAGAAUUAAAGAAAGUGCAGAACUUAUAUAUAGAAUUAAAGAAAGUGCAGAACUUACAUCUAACUGUAACGCCCCGCAUUUCGGGCUACAAUAAAGACCAUGAUUCCGAUGUGUUGAUAAUCCCGAAGCUAUAAAUCCUAUGCCAAUAUGGCAUGUUAAUUAUUUGUGUAGUGAAUCCAUUCAAGCUUGAAUUUAGACCAUAGAGGUCCUUUGACUCAAGGACAAAAUGAAAACUACUUUGAUCGAUUAAGUUUAAGUGGACAUUAUAAUUUGUGUCAACUUCUAUCAAUCAUGACUCUUUGUAUAUUUCGAAUCAAAGAGCCUACUAUGUGUAAAAAGAUAGGUUUUCUAGUUAGCUUUCCAACGAUACCAAUUUUGCUAAAAUCCAACACCCGAGGAAGAAGUUAUGGCCUUUCGAAGUAGUAUGCGUCGCCUAACCAAUCGCACAUGGCCACUGGAAAGCAUAGGCGAUAGCAUAGGCGCCGCCUAUGUAAAUAUAGGCGAUAGCAUAGGCGGCACCUAUAUAAAUAUAGGCAAUAGCAUAGGCGGUACAUAUGUAAUAGUUUCAAGUGACUUAAACACUCCGUUUUGGGGGCAAAAUGGUCCUUUUCCCACCCUUAUUCAGCCAUAAACAUGAAAUUCAGUAACCAAAGACCCCAAAAUACACCUUCAUUCAUCAAAAUUGCUCAAGAACUCCCCUUAGGGUUUCAAAAUAAAAACCCCAAUAACUCAAGAUUCAACCAUGUGUUUUCAAAACAAAUUGAAGAUUUGAAAUCCCCGCAACGUAGGCUUCAAGAAGCACCUAUCAUAUUCGCAUAUAGAGGUACUGUAACACCCCGUAUUUUUGGGCUAGAGUUUAGACCGUCUUUUCUAUGUAUAUAGACCCGAACUAAAUUAUUCUUUAUUAACAUAUGUGUGAUAAACACUCCUAUCAUAAUGCCCGUAAAAUUCUCGAGUCGAUUUCAUUUUUAGUGUUAUGUUUGAGGGGCUAACAACUAGAAUAUUUUUCUAAGUGUAAUGAGGACUUAGAGUCAUUUUAGCUGGCAAUCUUUGGGAUACAACUUUUCAACCUUCCUGACAUCCGUUUUUAGAUUUUCAAGUUGAGUUACGAUCGGGCAACCUCAUAGUACAUCUCGGAUAAGUUUUGGAAUUUUUCGGAUUGCAUAAGGCUGCAUUUGGAUUUCAAAACAGUAUCAAAAUGCAUAGCCUAUUGCCCAGUUUUCAGCAUUUCAGGAUCAACUUCAAACGAUCAUAACUCUCUGAAUAUAAUGAACUAAGAGAGCUUCUACCUAUCAAAUCAAAUCUCUUUGAGUCUUCUUUCCAAUGCAACUGGUUUCAUCUAAAUCCAACAUCUGAGUAAGGAGUUAACCCAUUUUACUUCAGCCUGUCAGCUUGUCAACGGAGGGACAGUUUCGAAUUUGUUUGUUUUCUUAGAGGCAUUUUAGUCAAUUCACCUCACCCAAAUUUCGUCUAUAACACCAGAUUUAGCCCCCAAUUCAUCAAAAUAUAAUCCUUUUCUCAAAUUUUCUCUCAAGAACACCCCUUAAGGUUUCAAAAUAAAAACCCUAAUAACUCAAGAUUCAACCAUGGGUUUUCAAAAUAAAUUGAAGAUUUGGAAUCCCCACAACGUAGGAUUCAAGAAGCACCUAUCAUAUUCGCAUAUAGAGGUACGUGGGGUUAUCUCAAAAAAUUCAUGAGCUUAAAAAUUCAUGUUUUAAAAAUAGGGGUUUUAAAAUUAUGAAUAUAAACAUGUUUCAAGCAUCUUUAUGAUAUUGAUUUGGUCUUUAGGCCUAAUUCCAAAGUGAUUUGAUAUAUGAUAUAUGUAUAUGCAUGUAUUCCAAAAAGAUGUUAACUUGAGAGCAUGAAUGAUAUGGAAUCCCUCUCUUGAUAUGAAUUUGUUUUAAAUGUUCAUAUGAUGUAAAUUGUUUGAAAACAUCUUGAAAAGCAUGACAUGAAAUGUUUUGAGAAUUGAUAUGAUUUUGACUUGAAAAUGAGAGGGCUAUUUGUGUUGAAAAAUGUUGAAUACAAUGGUUCAAUGAGAAGAAUGAUGUGAUAUUGAUGGCUUGCAAGUUGGGUAUGAUGAUACCAUACAGAAUAUGAUAUGUGAUUGAAUCAGAUGAAAUUNNNNNNNNNNNNNNNNNNNNNNNNNNNNNNNNNNNNNNNNNNNNNNNNNNNNNNNNNNNNNNNNNNNNNNNNNNNNNNNNNNNNNNNNNNNNNNNNNNNNNNNNNNNNNNNNNNNNNNNNNNNNNNNNNNNNNNNNNNNNNNNNNNNNNNNNNNNNNNNNNNNNNNNNNNNNNNNNNNNNNNNNNNNNNNNNNNNNNNNNNNNNNNNNNNNNNNNNNNNNNNNNNNNNNUUUUCAAAUGAUUUGAUAUGAAACUGCUUUAUAAUGGCUCUCAACUAUAUUUUGUAAAAAUAUUAUGUUUUGUUUGGAUAUCUCUGCGUACUAGUACUUUUGUAUUGACCCCCUUCCCUCCCAGGUUCGGAGGCACAGUCGGGGGGUCCAGAAAAUCAGUAGAUUUCCUCAGACAGAUUCGCAGAGUCACUUGGUGAGCCUUCUAUAUUUUGGAAGGCCUGAUAUCUGGCAGUUUCAUUUAUCAUUUAUUCAUUUUGGGUCUACUGGGGACCUUGUCCCAAUUUUCAGAUAGAUAUUUAUUUCAGUCAUGUAGUAGAGAUUUCGCAGACGUUAUAGAGAUGUUGAUUAAGAUUGUGGGACAUUAUUCCCCAUUAUUGUUUUCAUAUGAUUCUUGACCAUGUUUCUGUUAUAUAGUGUAUCUUCCACAUUUUUUUCAUAUAAGUCAUGUGCAUGAUUACCAGAUAGAUAAGGGGUGUUUCAGGCCCUGAUGGUUCGAAAUACUUGUCACGGCCAGGGCCCCGGUUUGGGUCAUGACAAACUUGGUAUCAGAGCACGGUUCAUGAUCCCAAGGUAUCUGCGAAAUCAAGUUGGUAGAGACUUAUUUAUGGGUGUGUAGCGCGCCACACUUAUAAGCAGGAGGCUACUAGGUGUUUAGGAAUGUCUCUUUUUCUUCAUGUUCUAGUCCGUGCAAUAGAGUCGGAAUGUUCCCCUUUCAUGCUCUAAUUUGUGCUAUGGUGUCGUCCAUAUGAAAGUAAAGUCAUCCCAAAUUCUUUCCUUACUCUGUUGUUCUCAAACAUGUCCUAUUAUUGGGCUGAUUCAUGUGCAAAAAGUUUAGAAUAUACAUGAUAUAGUCCUUUCCGAUUGAGUCCAAUAAGAUUUUAAAAAUUGUGCAAAGACUCGAUAGGAGUCUUUUAGUGCAUCAAUGUGUGUUGAUUCUGAUGUAAAUAUUGAUCCUAAUGGAAUCGUGCAUUCCAUCUUAAGGUAUUAAGUGUAUCUAGUCCCUCUCAAAAUCUUGUUAUAGAUGUGGACAAUGUAUAGCAGAAUGUUGGAACUGUAUUUCUACCCGAAUAGUAGCAUAAGUUAAAGUGUUGUUGUCAUGACCUAUUGGUAGUGAUAUUGGAUCAAGAAGUUGGUGAUGUAAAGUCACAAAGUUAGAAGUCAAAGUGAGGGUAAUUUUGUGUAAAUGAAUAUUUCAGUUGAAUAACCGAUGUUUGAGGAUGAUUUACCCCUUUAUAGUGAUAAAGUAAUGUUGUAGCUAGCAGCGUGUGUGGAUGGUAUGGUAGUCCAUGGAGGAAGUGUUUUACUCAGAUUUUUAUUUAUACAGAAUAUUAUGUAUAUUCUUAGACCAUUAAAUAUUAUGUGUCAAUUUUCUAUCCCUUGUAAUAUGUAAUCUUGUUAUCAUGGUGUUUUUGAGAAAAAAAAAUUAAGUCUAGUGAAGUCGUAUUGGGCUCUUUCGAUUCACUAGCAUAGUUGCCUUGUCAUCCAUCUCAUUUUCUUGUUCAAAAUACAAAACUAAAGUCUAGUGAAGCCAUGUGAGGCCUGUUUCAAUUCACUAGCAACUUGUUGUCCAACUUGUUGUUCUUUCAUUGGUUUAAUAUAUGUAUGGCUGAAUCUGUUUGCAUGAGAUUGAGUUGGUAAAGAGGUACUUCGUCCUUGUGAGUCAGUUAGUAUAAGGUAGAGAAGGAUUUGUUAGUCAGGGUGAUUUGUUGGUUGCUUGAAUGUGAAAAUGGCUAUAUUAGCGAUUAAGUUAUGAUUAUAGACUCAUGGUUGUUUGAGGAAUUUGAAGGCAGUCUAAAUGUAUGAUUGAGUGAGUAAGUAUGAGGUGAGAAAUUCAUAUAAGUAGAAAAGAUUGUAUGGGGUUAUAAUAUAAGAUUAAGGUUGAUCAUGUCUAUUAUGUGACAUUACCCCUUAACCUUCUUUUGUUGGUAGUUGUAAAUAGUACUACUUAUGAGAAGGUAUGUAGCAGAUUUUGAAGUAUUUGGGAUAGAUGUUCCAAUUUAAUGGAUUAGUAUAUUAUGUUGCACUCGUCAUUGGUGGUAGAUGAUUGAUGCUAGAUAUUUGUUUCAGUCAUGUAGUAGAGAUUUCGGAGACGUUAUAGAGAUGUUGAUUGAGAUUGUGGGACAUUAUUCCCUAUUAUUGUUUUUAUAUGAUUCUUGACCAUGUUUCCAUUAUAUAGUGUAUCUUCCGUAUUUUUUUCAUAUAAGUCAUGUGCAUGAUUACUAGAUAGAUAAGGGGUGUUUCGGGCCUUGAUGGUUCAGAAUACUUGUCACGGCCAGGGCCCCGGUUCGGGUUGUGACAGGUACGUGGGGUUAUCUCAAAAAUCUCAUGGGCUUAAAAAUUCAUGUUUUAAAAAUGGGGGUUUUGAAAUUAUGAAUAUAAACAUGUUUCAAGCAUCUUUAUGAUAUUGAUUUGGUCUUUAGGCCUAUUUCCGAAGUAAUUUGAUAUAUUAUAUAUGAAUAUGCUUGUGAUUCAAAAGAUGUUAACUUGAGAGCAUGAAUUAUAUGAAACUCCUCUCUUGAUAUGAAAUUGUUUGAAAUUUUCAUAUGAUGUGAAUUGUAUGAAAUCAUCUUGACAAGCAUGACAUAACUAUCUUGUUUAUGGGUGUGUAGCGCGCCACACUUAUAAGCAAGAGGCUACAAGGCCUGUAGGAAUGUCUCUCUUUCUUCAUGUUCUAGUUCGUGCAAUAGAGUCAGAAUGUUCCUCAUUCAUACUCUAAUUCGUGUUAUGGUGACGUCCAUACAAAAGUAAAAUCAUCCCAAAUUCUUUCCUUACUCUGAUGUUCUCAGACCUGUCACAUUACUGGGGCGAUUCAAGUACAGAAUUUUAAAGUAUAAAUGGUAUGGUUCAUUCUAAUUGAAUCAUAUCAGAUUUUUGCAAGGACUUGAGAAGAGUCCGUUAGUGCUUUAGAAUGUGUUGGUUCUAGUGUGAACCUUGAUUUUAUGAAAUAGUGUUUUUCAUCCUGCAGUAUUAAGUGUAUUCAGUUCUUUUCAGAAAUUAUGUUGCCAGUGUCACGCUUCAGAGGUAAUAAGGUGUAGCAGAAUGUUGGAAUUGUAUUUCCACCCGAAUAGUAGUAUGUGUUAAAGUGUUGUUGUCAUGACCUACUGGUAAUGAAAUUAGACCAAGAAGUUAGUGAUGUGAAGUCACAAAGUUAGAAGUCAGAGUGAGGAUGAUUUAAUCCUUUAUGGUGAUAAACUAAUUUGGUAGCUAGCAGACGGUAUGGUAGUCCAUGGAGGAAGUGUUUGACUCUGAUUUUAUUUCUAUAGAGCAAGAUGUGUAAUCUUAGUUCAUUGAAUAUUGCGUAUUAAAUCUCUAUCUCAUGAAAUAUUGUCAUCAAAGUGUUGUUGAAAAAUAAAGUCUAGUGAAGCUGUGGGGCUCUUUCGAUUCACUAGCAUAGUUGACUUGUCAUUUAUCCCAUUUUCUUGUUCAAAAUACAAAAUCAAAUUCUAGUGAAGCCGUGUGAGUCCUAUUUCGAUUCACUAGCAACUUGUUGUCCAACUUGUUGUUCUUGUGUAGGUUUAAUGUAUGUAUAGCUGAAUCUGGUUGCAUGAGAUUGAGCCGGUAAGGAGAUGAUUCAUCCUUGUGUGUUAUUAGUAGAAGGUAGAGAAGGAGUUGUUAGUCAUGGUGAUUUGUUGGUUGCUUGAAUGUGAAAAUGGCUAUAUUAGCGAGUAAGUUAUGAUUAUAGACUCAUGGUUGUUUAAGGAAUUUGAAGGCAGUCUAAAUGUAUGCUUAAGUAAGUAAGUAUGAGGUGAAAAAUCCACAUAAGUAGAGAAGAUUGUAUGGGGUUAUAAUAUCAGAUUAAGGUUGAUCAUGUCUAUUAUAUGACUUUACCCCUUGACCUUCUUUUCGUUGGCAGUUGUAAACUAGUACAACUUGUGAGAAGGUAGGUAGUGGAUUUUAAGGUGUUUGAAUAGAACGUGUCAAUUUUAUAGACUAGCAUAUUAAUUUGCAUUCGCCAUUGAUGGUAGAUGAUUGAUGCUAAACUAUAGGUUUGAAUUUAAGUGAAGGAUGUGGUGGGAAAAAAAAUAGUGGCAUGAGAUCGAUGAUGCACGUUUUGUGGAAUUAAAUUAGUAAGCUUGAUGUGUUGAAAUAGUAUGUGCUAAUGAGUUAUGAUAAGGAAGACCGUAAGGUCACGAUCAAUUUUUUUUGUGGCUAUGAAGUUCUAAUGUACUAGUGUUUCUUGAUGGUUAUUUCAUAGUUUUCAAGUGAGAAUUGUGCGUAAGGUUGGGUUGUAGAUCACAUUUACGUUCAGCACUAGACACUAAGUUUGAACAGUUGAUGCCCAUUAAGAUAGUUGUGAUGAUUGAUUGGGUAAUGAUACCGGUUUUAUGGAAGUGCUCUAAUAGGCUUGAACGGUGUACGCAAGAGAUUAGGUUUAUUUGAUUUGUAGUGAUGUAUGUUAUUGUACGUGUGAUGUAGAAGUAUGCCUAAGGUGACAUGAGGUUGCGGCAUUCUCUCUAGGGAUAUUACUUAUCGCGCGUGGCUAGUGGUACCAUUGAAUUGUUGAGUGGAUAAAGACUAGUUAGAUGGUAUAUGGUGAUCUAAAUAGCCAUGUUAAGGUGUUUUGAUUGAUAGUGUUGGGCCUUUUGCGGUGAUCUUGAUUCUCAUAGUAGAGGGAUAUAAAUUUGGAGUCGCAAUAGUGGUAGGCUAUGUCGAAAGUGAUAUGGUUUAUCAAAGGCUUGGUGAUAUCCAUGUUAAGUGUUAGAAUCUAAGUUUGAGUUUUGAAGGUUGAACCGAUAGAAAUAAGUGUGCAAGCAUUAUGCUAUGACUAUUGAUGGCUAUGGAAAGAUAGAGUGUAUCCCAGAAGGUAGUCAUUCGGGUUGAGUUCUAUGAUAUGUAAGUAUUGUCAUUUUUUCUAGACCCUAGAGUGCAGUAAGUGUAGUUCAGUUAGAAUCUGGUAAGAGAUCUCCCAAACUCUAGAUGAUGACUUGAAGCAAAGGGGGAGAUGAUAGAAUGAAUGACCAAGUAAGGCUCUCAGAUUCUAGUAGUGAUGCAGUAUGAUUUAGAACAUCAGAAAGUGAGGGUGAAUCUCAACCCAUUCGUACCUCAGUAUUUUUUUUCAGUUAUUCGAAUGCUUACUCAUGCCUUACGAUUCAGUUCUGUCAUCAUAGUUCAUGAUUCCUGUAUAUGAUAGAGAUUCACGUACUCUUCCAGUUCCAAGAUAAUGAGCUCUAGUUCAUUCAUGUACUCGGAAUCACAUUCCUUAUGUUAUGAAAUCUAGUUGAGGUCAUGCAACUCAUGACGCAUGUACUCACUCUUUAUAGUGUGCUCAGUCCCGUAUAAAAAUCUUUUCAUGCUUCAGAGUCUUAUGUUUUAACCUUUUAGUGACCCUCCCUAUGUAAUGAUAGUGGUGAUGAUGUAAACGUUCUUGUUGAUGGAAAAUCAUAGUAUGCUUGUUUAGAUAAGUCCAUAAGUAUGAAGUAAGAUUUGGGGCCAAGUCUUUGAUACAUGUGAUGGUUAGUGGAAAAGUUUGUGUGUGUAUGUUUUUAGGAUAGCGCAUGGGAGUUAUAUUAUUAAAAGUUUAGACACUAUGUGAAGUAUGUAUUUAUGGGUGAUUGCCUUGAAGUUAACAUGUGGUUAUAAAUUAGGCUUGAAUGACAUUUUGGGAUUGUAGUGAAAGGUUGCAAUAUGCAUUAGCGACUUUAUAUUAAGAGUUCAGAGUAGUCAUUGAAGUGGUAAGGCGUGUUAUACUUAGGAUAUGAUCUUUAAAGGAGAUAUAGAAGAUUGCAUCAUAUGGUUUAGAAUAAUAGCGUGGUCUGGCAUGUCGUAUUUUUGUGACUUAGAGUUAGGCUUGAUCACGGCGAAGGGAUUAAGUUAUUUCCGACAUUAGUAGAAAGAUUUGUCAAUGCUCAUAUGAGAAUUUUAAGCUGAUUUGAAUGAAUAUGAUAUUUAAGGAGAAUAGUAUAGUUAAGUGAUAUUCGAGAAGUGUGCUAAGCUUGAAAGUAAGAAGUUGUAAUGCCAAAGGCUUGGUAAUUCUAUCCUAAUUCAGGAGUUAUAUGCCUUUGUUCCAGACUGCAGAGUAGUGUCAAUGUGGUGAUUCCUCAGUUGGAUGUCUUGUGUAAUCCAUACCCAAGAUUCAUGGCUUCCUAUUACUGCUAGAAUUUCUUUAGAGAAUUGUGAUGAAGAUGAAGAGAUACUUCUGUUAAGUAUGAGGGUGUAGUAUGAUUCAGUCUAUAUGGCCAAUAAGUCAGUUUAGCAGUUAGAAUUGCAUGACUUGUUUUCUCGUCUUUGCACUUAUUCAUGCUACUCGAAAUCUCAGANNNNNNNNNNNNNNNNNNNNNNNNNNNNNNNNNNNNNNNNNNNNNNNNNNNNNNNNNNNNNNNNNNNNNNNNNNNNNNNNNAGAGGUUCAGUUAUGAUUCAAUUCAUAAGUGCCCUGUACAUCGCAUCAGUUCCCUGAGUAUCUUAAUGAAUUGAGCAUUCAUAGAGGGACAUAGUAUCCCAAGGGGGAGAUACCUCAUUCAGUUGCAUGCAUAGAUUCUUAUUACAAGCCUCGCACCAGCUAUCAUUGAGUAUUCAGUCAUACAUUCACACGUCAGUUCAGUCAUAUAUAUGCAUGCAUUAGAAAUGCAUGUUCAAUAGAAAAAGUUCAGAUUAUCAAUGUAUUUAGUCGUGCGUUCAUGAGAACAACUCAGUCACAGAUCCAUGCAUCAGAUAUGCAUGUUCUUUAUGAGAAUUUAACUUAUGAAUAGCUUCAGUCGUGUAUUCCAUGCAUCAAAAAUGCGCAUCCGGUAUAAGAAUUUAGAAUAUCAGUAAUUCCAGCCUUAUAGUCAUGUUUCAGAUUAGUGUAUUACUUCUUAGAGAAACAUAUCAUAUCCGCAUUAUUCCAUACCUCUAAGCUUCAAUAUGUUCCUACCCAUCAUUCGAGGAUGAAUGAUCCCAAGGGGGAGAUAAGUAAUGCCCCACAUUUCGAGCUACAAUAUAGACCAUGAUUCCGAUGCGUUGAUAAUCCCGAAGCCAUAAAUCCUAUGCCAAUAUGGCAUGUUAAUUAUUUGCAUAGUAUAUGAAUCCAUUCAAGCUUGAAUUUAGACCAUAGAGGUCCUUUGACUCAAGGACGAGUUGAAAACUACUUCCACCGAUUAAGUUUAAGUGGACAUUAUAAUUUGUGUCAACUUCUAUCAACCAUGACUCUUUGUAUAUGUCGAAUUAGAGAGCCUACUAUGUGUAAAAUGAUAGGUUUUCGAGUUAUCUUUCCAACGAUACCAAUUUUUCUAAAAUUCAACACCCGAGCAAGAAGUUAUGGCCUUUCAAAGUAGUAUGCAUUGCCUAACCAAUCGCACAUGGCCACUGGAAAGCAUAGGCGGCGCCUAUGUAAAUAUAGGCGAUAGCAUAGGCGGAGCCUAAUAUAGGUGAUAGCAUAGGCGGAGCCUAUGUAAAUAUAGGCAAUAGCAUAGGCGGCGCCUAUGUAAUGGUUUCAAAUGACUUAAACACUCCGUUUUUGGGGCAAAAUGGUCCUUUUCCCACCCUUAUUCAACCAUAAACACGAAAUUCAAUUCCUAAAAUCCCAAAAUACACCUUCAUUCAUCAAAAUUGCUCAACAACUCCCCUUAGGGUUUCAAGAUAAAAACCCCAAUAACUCAAGAUUCAACCAUGUGUUUUCAAAACAAAUUGAAGAUUUGGAAUCCCCGCAACGUAGGCUUCAAGAAGUACCUAUCAUAUUCGCAUAUAGAGGUACGUGGGGUUAUCUCAAAAAUCUCAUGGGCUUAAAAAUUCAUGUUUUAAAAAUGGGGGUUUUGAAAUUUUGAUUAUAAACAUGUUUCAAGCAUCUUUAUGAUAUUGAUUUGGUCUUUAGGCCUAUUUCCGAAGUAAUUUGAUAUAUUAUAUAUGCAUAUGCUUGUGAUUCAAAAGAUGUUAACUUGAGAGCAUGAAUUAUAUAAAACCCCUCUCUUCAUAUGAAAUUGUUUGAAAUUUUCAUAUGAUGUGAAUUGUUUGAAAUCAUCUUGACAAGCAUGACAUGAACUAUUUUGAAAGUGGAUAUGAUUUUUGAUUUGUAAGGAGAGGGUUAUUAUGUUGAAAUAUGAAAUAUAAUGGGCCCGAAGAAGGCAUUUGAGUGUAAGGGAUCAUCACUGGAAACCGUGUUUGCCGACAUGGGAACUUGGUACCAUGCUUUAUGAUCUUGCGUACCUGACUUUAUGUCAUUCCCAAAUUGGGACUAUGGUUAGGAGCCCUGCUUUGUGAUCUUGUGCACUACCAUUGGAUCGAGACACCCUUCUUCCCCUCACUUAUACUCUAAUCUCUAUGACGAUACCCUACAGAAUAUGAUAUGUGAUUGAAUCAGAUGAAACUUGAAUGCAUUAAUUUUUCGUGAGAUAGGUGGAUGCCCGAAGAAGGCAUUUGAGUGUAAGGGAUCAUCACUGGAAACCGUGUUUGCCGACAUGGGAACUUGGUACCAUGCUUUAUGAUCUUGCGUACCUGACUUUAUGUCAUUCCCAAAUUGGGACUAUGGUUAGGAGCCCUGCUUUGUGAUCUUGUGCACUACCAUUGGAUCGAGACACCCUUCUUCCCCUCACUUAUACUCUAAUCUCUGUGGCAACCGAGGUUUGACAGUUGGUGUAAAUGUGAUAUGUAGGGUAUUCCACCUAGCUCAGCUGCAUUGCAUUGUCGUUGAAAACAAUUACAUUACGCCCAUGUGUUUUUAAAUGAUUUGAUAUGAAACUGCUUUAUAAUGGCUCUCAACUAUAUUUUGUAAAAAUAUUAUGUUUUGUUUUGAUAUCUCUGCGUACCAGUAUUUUUGUAUUGACCCCCUUCCCUCCCAGGUUCGGAGGCAUAGUCUAGGAGUCCAGAAAAUCAGUAGAUUUCCUCAGACAGAUUCGCAAAGUCACUUGGUGAGCCUUCUAUAUUUCGGAAGGCCUAAUACCUGGUAGUUUCAUUUAUCAUUUAUUAGUUUUGGGUCUACUGGGGGCCUUGUCCCAGUUUUCAUAUAGAUAUUUGUUUCAGUCAUGUAGUAGAGAUUUCGAGACGUUGUAGAGAUGUUGAUUGAGAUUGUGGGACAUUAUUCCCCAUUAUUGUUUUCAUAUGAUUCUUGACCAUGUUUCCGUUAUAUAGUGUAUCUUCCGCAUUUUUUUUCAUAUAAGUCAUAUACAUGAUUACCAAAUAGACAGCGGGCAUCCCGGGCUUUCACGGCUCAGGAAUGCUCGUCACGGUCAGGGCCCUGGUUCGGAUCAUGACACUAACAGUCGAUGUAUUUUCCCGCUUUCUUCAUUCGUGCAAAUUUGACUUUCAAAACCAUGUGGAAUCCAAGAGUAUGAAGAAAAAUGCUUUCCAUACUAUUCUACCAGUUGCAUGAACUUAAAUGUUAGUUUUGUGUAGUCUGCCCAUCCUUUCUCGUAUAGAAAGCCAUAACCAGUUCAAGCUAUUCGUAUGCACUUCCUUGUUGUAGAGUUAACUACUCAAUCAUCCUGAUAAUUAAAUUGCAAUACAAGUAAAUUUUUCACUGCCAUAAACUUUAUUUUAGUAUUAACUUUAGGGGAGUUUCUAUACCCUUCUAGUGGUAGUCCUCUGCAGUUUCAUGCUUUAUCCUAAUAGACUAAAAAGGCACCGUGAAUUUGGUGUGCUUGAAUUCUUUAUGAGAUUGAAUCAGUUUGUAAAAUUCAGUUUCAAUAGCUCUAUUUCAAAUUAUAAAGUAGCCAAGCUGUUGUACAACAGUUGACGUGCAACAGUUAUUCAAAAUUAUUGUGCUAACAAACUGAACCGCAACACUAGUAAAGAUUUGAGUUCUUUCUUUUCCUUCCAAAGAUCAAUUCUUUUUCUAGUUAAUAUGAACAUUAAUUUCGUUAGUCAUUGUGUGAAUUUCAUCAACGUACAAAGGUUAACAUAAACGAUCAGAAAGAAAAAGAAUAUCAAGAAUAUGAAUUUAUGGUUUAAAAGAAUACAGUGUAAUUGAUGGAACAUGUUUUUCUUUUCUCUCUUUAUAUAGUUUAUCUGUUGAACUACAAAGCUUUUCUCUACUCGAGUCUGGCUGAAGAUAAACUGGUUCCUAGCCAUCAGUUUUUCUGAUUUAGCCUCGCUAAAUCUCUGCAAUGUUGUGCAGAAGGUUGAUUUCAUUUGGUAAUUGGUAGUAUGAAGAUGUUUUUAUGAAAAGACCUAUCCACUAGAUCUUCUAUAUCGGUAUAUGCUCAAUUCUCCUUUGAUCUUUUUACACCAGUACUGUGUUUCGAUAUAUUAUGUUUGAAGUUGAAAAAUGGUAAGAAGCUAAAGUUGUGUUUGAACGUGCAUUUGUUUGAACCAAAGUUAGAAAUUUUUUGAGUGAUUCAAAAGUGAUAGUUGGUUUUUCUAUCAUUUUACAAAAGACUAUGUGAUUGUGCCUAUCUGAAAUUUAAUAUAGUUGAAAAUGUGGUUGAAAACGAUGUUGCUCAGACGCUGCAACCUUUCCCUUUUCAAGAUGCAUAUGAUAUGUGACCCUAUCGCAGUUGUUUCCUCCUGUUGAGCUGAUUAAACUUAUAGAAGCAUUUGAUAAGCCUCGACCGAUCUCUCUACGGACAAACACUCUAAAGGUCAUGUUUUAUCUGGCUUUUUUUUUCCUUACCUUUCUCCCUGUGAUGGUCGACUCCUUGUGGAUUGCUUUGAUGGGAUUUCAGAUUCACAGACGGGAUUUAGCUGGUGUUCUUCUUAACAGAGACGUGAAUUUGGACCCAUUAAGCAAAUGGUCGAAGGUACGAUUACAAAGAUUAACUGUGAUUCUAUGUGUUUUCUUUGGGUUUACCCAUUACUUAGGUAUCAAUUCGAAUCUGUUAUUUCUUAUUUUCACAUGUAUGCUUACUUAUUUUAUCAUAUGCAUUUAUGACUUUGUAGGUUGGACUAGUUGUAUAUGAUUAUCAAGUUCCAGUUGGUGCCACUCCUAAGUAUAUGGCUGGUCAUUACAUGGUAUCUUGACAUUACACUUUAAAAGAUAUCUUUGCUCAUUGUAUUCAACUGUGAUGGUAAUUUCUAAUAUAACUAGCUUGCAUAGAGCUCCAAAGUGUGAGCUCUUUUCUACCUGUAAUGGCCAUUGCACCUCAAGAGAAUGAACGUGUCAUUGAUAUGGCGUAAGUAACUAAGUUUUUGUCUAAAAUAAUGUUAAAACAAAUUGAUUGCUGAAAGAAUUUUCUGGUGCAUACUUAGUCUAGGAAAAAGCUAAUCGAAAAAUAAAGCAUCUGCUUUUUCACUUUCACUUUUAAUUUCUCCUUUCUUUAAACUAGCUGCUUUGUCUUGGAUAUAGCUUUGUCCAUAUUAGGUUCAAGUGAUGCACCUAGUAUCUUUUCUUUUGAGAGGGAAGCUAAAACAAUUUCUGCCAACUUUUUACUUCUUAGUUCAAUAAGCAGAGAAGUGAAACAUUUUGAUAACUUUUUAUUCGCCUAAAGUGUUGAAUUUUUUCAUGGUGUAGUGCUGCUCCUGGAGGCAAACCAACUUAUUUUGCUGACUGCACUGAUGAAAAAUAGUGGUAUGUAAUCAUUGCGCAGUUAAUCGUGUUGUAUUCCUUGUGCAGGGAUCAAUUUUCGCCACAAUGCAUCCAUACUUCUGGAUACAGAUGGAAGAAUGAACUUGAAUACAUUUGGCUGCCCUGGUGUUAAUUAUCUCCAUUUCCUUGUAAAAGAAUCCAUUAAUUUCCAGUUUCUGUCCUGCUAUUUUUUAAUGUAGUAUACCAAAAUAUUCUGGAUUGAUCAUUCUAUUUUACUAUUCACUCAUGUACAUCAUUCUCGAUCAAAAAGUUGAAAAUUUAAUUUUUAGGUUUUCAGGUAUUGAUCCAGGCUAUGGAACAACUAGUUGAAAAUAAACCUCCUGAAAAGAUGACUUUGAAUCAGCUUGCAUGGUUAUAUUCAAUCAUGUUAACUGCAGCAGUGGUAAAACUCGCCCUGUGGCUUUACUGCAAAAGCUCAGGGAAUGACAUUGUUCGCGCCUAUGCAAAGGUAUGUUUUUAUUAUCCUUUACCAUCUUGCUCAAAACUAAAUCUAAAGUCUAGUGAAGGCGUGUGGGGCUAUUUCGAUUCACUAGCAUUGUUGUUGUUGUGUUCAUCUCUUUUCUUGCUCAAAACUAAAUCUAAAGUCUAGUGAAGCCGUGAGUGGCCUAUUUCGAUUCACUAGCACCUUGCUGUUCAUCUUAUUGCUCUUGUGCUGGCUUGAAUCGCCUGAUACACACUUAGUCUUGUAUCAAUAUGUUAUUAAUUUGUUGAACUUUAUUUGAUAGUUGUAGUAAGUUAGCAAAAACAUCUAGAUGCUCCAUCUUUGUUGUUUGGUUUUCCCUUAAGUAUCCUGAAAUUCAUUCACGCUGUGUAACCAUAAUUGAUCCCGCACAACCACUUUCUUAAUAAGAGUAAAACUUAAUGGCCACCGUUAAGUAAACAACCUUAUAACCUUAAUCUUAACGGUCACCGUUUAAAGCCUAAUCUAUACAUAAAACUUAACGGACACCGUUUAAUAAACAACCUUAUAACCUUAACGGCCACCGUUUAACCUUAUAACCUUAACGGCCACCGUUUAACCUUAUAACCUUAUAUUAGGAAACAACCUUAUAACCUUAGCCUUAACGGCAACCGUUUAAAGCCUAAUCUAUACAUAAAACUUAAAGGACAUCAUUUAAUAAACAACCUUAUAACCUUAACGGCCACCGGUUAACCUUAAAACCUUAUAUUAGGAAACAAUCUUAUAACCUUAUAACCUUAACGGCCACCAUUUAACCUUCGAAGUAGGUGGCUCUCUUAGCUGUUCAAUUAGUUGCUACUACAAUUAUGUAGUUGGCUACUGACAAUGACAUCUAUUUAUGGUUAUCACUUAGGUGAUGGUGUUGCUACCAAAGGACAGGGCUAUGGAAUUCGUAGUAUUCAUGUGGAUGGUAAUGAUGCUCUUGUUUUUUUCACCGCUGUCCAGGAGGCACGAAAAAUAGUUGUUAAUGAAUAUAAAUCUGUUCUAGUAAAGGUAAACUACACUCUUUUUGAGAUUGAGGCUUAUGCUAGUUCUGGAAGUGUCGUUAACUGCUUCUUUUAUGUUCAACAGGCUCUCAGGAAGCAGGUAAAUUCUGCUCACAGAAGAACUUUUUAAGUUCAUUGUUGCAUGUAUAGCUUUCUAGUGCAGAAUUCUAAGUAUUAUAGACACAUAUCAUCGGUAUAUGCUACUAGAAAACGUAGACAACUUGUUGUGCUAGGAACUGAGAUGGACUUAAAUAAACUCUCGAAAACACCUGCUCUCAUUUUUGAAAUUAAACACCUGCUCUCAACUUAAACUCUUAAAUAAACUCUUGAAAUUAAACAUAUGUGGCCUGCAAUUGGGUCCAAUUAAGUUCUGAUCAUGCGGCAUUUGGACCACAAUCCAACAGUUGAUUUUUCUACAUAAUAGUGUUUUUCUUUCUUGCAGUCAAGACUCCAAGCAAAGCAGAAUGCUGGUGCGGAUAAGAGACAUCAAUAUAAAGGUCAGUGGACUUGAGUUACUCCAUUUCUAUACUAGGCAUUAAAGGUUAGCAUAUUUUUAUAUUAGAGUUCCCACAUGUUAGACAUUGGUGAGAUGAGACUUCUAAAUGCAGUAAUUCUAUUUGUGGCAGUAUGUUAAAGUUACGUUCAUAACAAAAAUGAAACAAUAGCUUGGGAAUAUGGAUCAGUUUAUCUUAGGUCUAUCAAAAACAACUUCGCUACCUUUGAGGGUUGGGGUAAGGUCUGCGUUCACUCUGGCCUCCCCAGACCCUAGUUUAUGAGAGUACACUUGGUAUUUUUUUCAGGUCACAUUUUCGAUUCAAAUAUAGUAAUUUUUAUUUUCUGGUUCAUUUCCUCGUUCUCUACUUAAUUAUAGUUAUUUUCUUAUGAAAUGUAGGUAAGGUGGUUUUUAAAGGAAACGUUAGGUGGAUCUAUUUCUGUUAUACAACAACAUAGUAUGUUAUUCAACUAGAGAAGAUCAUAGUUCAACUCCCAAAUCAUCAAGGAUAUGAAUAAUAAUGUAUAUUUUGAUCAAGGAUGUCGCAAAGCCUAGAUUAAGCAUGGAGUUAGUCUAUUUCUCGAAGGGAACUUGAUGAAAAUUUGCGUGUACUCUAAUUUUUGAGUUAUUUUUAUCUAACAUUGUGUUUUGAGACAAUCUAAAUAGAAUAAUGAUGUAUACUAUGACUAGUGGAUGUAUGAGAAUAUAAUUGUAUUUUUCAAUCAAAAUUGUAGUAAAUAUUAAUCGUAUAAAAUAGACAAGAAUGCUAUGUUUUAAACAUGUGGUCAUUGGGAGAAGGGAUAUCUAUUGUGUGACUGAUUUAGAUGUGUAUGUGCAAAUUAGCAAAGGUAACACUUUGUAAAUGUUGCUUUAGAGAAGGUAUUAAUGGCUACACUUCAAAAGUGUGGUCUUAAGAAAGUAAAGACCACACUUUUUAAGUGUUGUUAUAGAGAUGCUAUAAAAGGCUACGUUUUUGAAGCGUGCCCAAUAGUAAAACAAAGGCAACAUUUUUUAAGUGUUGCUGUAGAAGUGCUACAAAAGGCUACGCUUGUGAAGUGUGUCCAAUAUCAAAACAAAGGCAACACUUGUAAGUGUAGCUUUAUCAAAUAAAAGUGUUACCAAUGACAAGAUACAAAGCGUGACCUUUAUACCUUAAUGGCCACGCUUUUUAAGUGUAGCUGAUAUGGCAACAAUUGAAAAGCGUGGCCUUUGAUCAAAGUUUAUGCCUCUUUAGGCCACCCCUCAAAAAGUGUUGCCUAAAGUCCAAAAGUGUAGCCUUUGAUCAAAGGACACGCUUUCUUCUAUUUUAGGCCACACUUUACAAGAGUGGCCAUAGCCCAAUGUUGUAGUGAUGUUUGUAUUUCUUUCUAACCAUGAUUGGUUGAUUUGCCUCUUCACUAGCUAACUUAUAUGUGGUUUACAUACUUAUUUUGUUGUGGAAUAGUUCUUUUUAUGUUGUCAUUUAAGUGCUAAUUUAUAUUAUUUGUUCUCUUUUUAUAGGUGUCCAAAAUGAAGAAAGAGAUGAAGAAAAUGAUGAAGAUAUUGACCUUACUUGAGAAGAUUUUUGGGUUGUGGAUAAAUGCUCUAAUAUCAAUAGUUUUGUAUUGAAUUUUUUGAAACUUAUCAUGACUUGAACUUGCUACAGUGUAAAAACUUAACUAAUCAUUUUGGACUUGAUUACAUUUUACGUUUGGGUUUAAAUUACUAGCUUGUUGCAUAUUUUGAAUUAUGAGAUUAUUAAUGAAUGAUUGUGUUUUGUGAUGUGUAUAUUUUUUGUUAUAAUUUAUAAAGUGUUGCAACAGAAUAACAAAAGCGUCGCAAUAGAUGCUAUGGCAACGGUUUAAUGUCAUUGCAAUAGAGUCUAUUGCAAUGGUUCGUAACCGUUGCAAUAGAUGAAAAUAGGUGUUCCAAUAAGUAAUGAAAUAGUUGUAAUAGGUGGUCAAAAAGCGUUGCAACAGAACAAGAAAAGCGUCACAAUAGCUGUUAUUGCAAUGGUUAAUAACCGUUGCAAUAUCAUCUAUUGCGACGGUUAGGUCUAUCUAUGACGAUGGUUUCCAGAAACCAUCACCAUAGCUCUACCUAUGGCGACGGUUUAGACAACCGUCGCAGAAACAGUUGCAAUAGACCUAUCGCAACGCCCACUUAUGGGACGCUUGCAAAACCAUUGCGAUAGGUCUAUGGCAACGGUUUUUUGGUAUAUUGCAACGGUUUUACAACCGUCACCAUAGAUCUAAUUUCUGGUAGUAGAUCAUAUUUUGAGAUUCUAUCCUUAAUUUUUGAGAUUCUAUCAUAAUUUAUGUUUGAAAUGUUGUGACCUCACCGGGAAGAAUGCAGUAACGUUAAAAAUUUCGAUUAAAAAAGAUUCUAAGUUCUAAAAGAACAAAGAUAAUUGAGGUAUAACUUCUACCAAUUUAAUUAACAUAUGAUUUAUUAUUUUCGAAAGUUAGAUGAUCUAUCUACAUUUAUUAUUUAGGAGGAAAUAAUUCUCGCAAUAAUUUUUUUGAUCGAUCAUAUGUGGGCGAAUUGAUUAGUCACAAAGAAAUUGAGGUCAAAGCUUUUACUAUGCAUCAUGAUAUC
rnacentral:lncRNA from 1 species